rnacentral:rRNA from 1 species
AAGGAUCAUUAGAGAACCUGGGCCUGCGCUACUUGCGCGGCUCCAACCAAUACACAGUGUGUUAUACUUCUUUUGCUUUGGCUCUGCCAAAGGUUUUAAACACAGAAAUUUAUUUUCUUUAAGAACAGUCAAUUUGAAUUUUAAUCUUCAAAACUUUCAACAACGGAUCUCUUGGUUCUCGCAACGAUGAAGAACGCAGCGAAAUGCGAUACGUAAUGUGAAUUGCAGGUUUUCGUGAAUCAUCGAAUCUUUGAACGCAUAUUGCGCUCUCUGGCAUUCCAGAGAGCAUGCCUGUUUGAGCGUCAUUUCUCUCUCAAGAUCCUCUAGGGGACUUGGUAUUGAGUGAUACUCUGUGUUAACUUGAAAUACUCUAGGCAGAGCUCCCCCUAGAAAUCCUCUGGGCCGAAAUAAUGUAUUAGGUUCUACCAACUCGUUAUUUUCCAGACAGACUUCCAGGCAGAGCUCGGCUGAACAACCUUUCUAAGCUUGACCUCAAAUCAGGUAGGACUACCCGCUGAACUUAA